rnacentral:lncRNA from 1 species
GCAGAUAGUUAACAGGCCCAAGGCCUGAAACAAAAGAAGAGUGAGCACACUGCCAAGCACAGCCAAGGCAGUUGGGACAAGAUUUCCUUUCGCAAGGAGCCUGGUGGGUAACGAUGGUGUGCUGCUGAGAAGGCUCUUACACAGACAGCAUAGGUCUGCUGUUACCAGGCCUGCAGAGGGAAGCCCUGGUGGAAGCACCACCUAGCCUGAGAACAUCUACAGAGACAUUUCAUCCUCUCUGACCCAAAACAAAAUAAACACCACAAAGUGAACCAACACAAGCAGGAAGACCGGACUUAACAAACAAAUGGGGAAACUGAGGCCAUGAGAAAUUAAGUGACUUGCCCAUGGCUACACUGAUGAUUAACCACAAUGUGAAGAUUAGAAUUAAUCUCCUGACUCCUGAUCCAGUGGUCUUUCCUGGGAAUUUGUCUCUUCCCCCCUGCUGCUCCUGCCGUGGUCUUCACUGCCCAACAAGAAGGAAGAGGGUCAAAGCAAAGCCAACUGGGGACCCCAGCUGAUUCUGCUGCUUCUUCCACUAAACACAUCCAUAAUAUUCUCUUUGGUAAUACUGCAGAUUUCCAAAUGUGCCAAAACAGCUAAGCAAAAAGCAUCAUUCCAACACGUUUAAUGACUGCUUUGGGAGCCCAACUUUAACAGUGAGACAGGCACAAAAGCAGUAGAGCUGUCCCACGUGGAAUGGGCUAUCUCGUGACACUGUGACCCCCUUUCUUUCACCCUGGGUCUUCAAAAAGAGAAUGGAUGACACUAUGAUGAGGAGGGGUCUCUAUAUUGGUGACAGGCCAAAAUACAGGACUACCUACAGUCCUUUCGCAGUCCAUAAUCCUCAAGUCCCUCAGCUCUUCCAUGUACCACCUUCUAGACUACACUUAAAAUGCAUCCUGAACGUUUGUAAAGUACCCUGAAGGAACCCAUUCCAGUUCUGAAUCCGAUUACUAGGUUCAAGCCACACAAAUAACAACAGUGCAGCUAGUCUGAGCUAGAGGCUUCUUUACCUAACUGCAAAGUAAAUGUCCUUUCUAUUCAGCCGCAUCUAGCUCUUGACCCUAUGUUUACCAUAGAUACCAGUUCUUCUCACUUAGAUUCUCUGACUUAUCAGAGUAUUAUAGAGCAAACAUUAGCUAUGCCUGUGACUUGAGUUGUGUCAAUCUGUAAUGAAAAUGUGCCAGCUUUAUCAUCACUCACAGACUUCUUAAUUAACCUUCUGAUAUUGUCAAAAUCGCACUCUCUUUUGUUCUAGAAAUGAGCAUUUACAUGUGCAUUUUUUUUCCUUCAUUGCUUUUUUACUGGCUGUUUUACCAAAUCCUGAUGUUCUUUAAAAAGUGUAUUCUGCAAAAACAAAAGAAAGCAAUAAUUAUAGACACUACAAUAUAGAAUUUCUUCCCUGAAACUCUCUCAUGGUCCUUAGAUUCCUUGAUACUUCACCAGUGACUUUAAUAACAUCAAUCACUCAUUUUAAAACUCUUUUUUGAUCAAUGCUAUCCUCUUAGAGCCUUGAUUACUCAAACAACAGGUUACUAACUUCACCUUUUAAGAGUUCUCCUCCUAGGCUUUUUCUCAAUAAAGGGAGGAAGUAGAGAUGACAUUUUGCGUGCCCCUUUAUCUAUAAAAAUGCCAGCCACCAAUCUGUCAGGCCUAAACAAAAUUUUUCUGCAAGCUGUGUCUUUAACAUAAGCAAAGCAUAUAAUUCCAAAAAAAAAAAAUCUUGCUUUUCUGAAAAGCAACUAAGCCAAAGACAUUGUGUUCCAUCUUUGUGUUGAAAUGCAGAUUUCCCACUAAAAGGCAAAUCCUUCAUUUCAAAAGGUUGAAUAGGAUGGUACUUAAAAAAAGAAUUCCAGCUGGUUAAAUUUAGGGUGUUAAAAAAAGUUCACUCCAAUAAUAUUCUUUGGCUCUGGGCCCAAAGUAUUUUCACUUGAUCGUGAAUUAGAUAAAUUUUUAUUACACUUUAAGCUUUUGCCUUAGAAUGGCGGAACUUAUCUAGGAGACUGAGAGGGCAGCUGCAUAAAAAGACAAAUUGUCUUAGGACAAUUUUUUUUUGUUUGUUUAAUCACAUACCUCACUAUGCAAAAUGUGUGUUCCCAGGAUAAAUUCCAUUCAUUCAUUCUCUCAUGCAUUCAUUCAACCUCUCAUGCAUUCAUUCAACAAAUAUUUACCGAGUGCCUACAAUGCCCAAAGCAAUGGGCUAGCCGCUGUGGGCAGUACAAAGAAAACACGGACACAGAUUUCUCCCACAGCAGGCUUCAUUUAGUAGAAAAGGUAAGGCCUGCACAGAAAUUGCUCUACCCCCAUGUAGAAAGUGUGUCAUGAGAGAGGUACAGAUGAGCUGCUAUGGAAAUUCAAAGGAAGAGAAAUUAUUUCCAUUUGGAAGGGAGGGAGAGAGGCUUUGGGAAAGAGGAAAACUUAUGAGUUAAACCUGGAGAGCCAAGAGAAAGGAUAUCCUAGAUAAAAAGAAAAAGCAGGUAAAGAUGCUUAGAGAGAAGCAAAGCCCAAGGUGGGCACAGAGUAAAUGGGGCCCAAUAGGCGGUUACAUUCACAUCAAAAUAUUGCACACUGAUUCAUCCAGUUGACAGCGGAGGAUACGACCAUCUAAAUAAAUCCUCUGAAGAUUUCUGUGACAUCUUCAGCUUUCACAAGUGCGUAUUUUCCAAUUUCACAUUUUCUGAAAAUAAGGGACACAACCAUGUGGACUCUUGUGAAACUCCAUGAAGGUUCAUCUGUUCUGUUUUCCCCCCACCUCAAUUGUUUCUUCCCCCAAUGAAUGUGGGUGGCCCGCUAAGGCAAAAUUUACUAUGUUUUAUUCCUCUGAGUCAGACAAACAAGUGUUGAUAGCCAUGUUCUUCCUUGCAAUACUGCCUCCCUGGCUUAAAUAAUCUAUUUCAGAUGUCUCAUUGCCAGUUUAAGAUGGGCUUGUACUUGCUGACACAUUUUCAACAAAUGACUGUGCAAGAAACAUUGAGAUUUUCCUACACUACUUUGUCUCUUCAAUCAUCAACUUGACCAUCCCUCCAAAUUUCCCCUCUUUCUUCUUUUCAAAGCCAUGGGGAGGAUAGGGGUGCCCUUACUCCUGCUCUGAGUCCUCAGCUGAGGAUCUUGUUUGUGUGUAGUGGGGGCAGGGGGAGGGGUGUAGCCUUGCCUCUAUCCGAGGUAUUUAUCAGGUUAUUUGGGAGCUACUUUCAGAGAUGCCCUUGCUCUAUGUAUUCCCACUGCCACCACUCCCCGGAUUCUUUUCUUCCUUUAGGAAGCAGGGACUUGUUCCUCUGGAGAGACUGCUAGAGGAAAGUCAGGAACCUAAGUUCUGCAACCCCAACUCUGCCACUCACCAGCUGUUUCGUGACUUUGAAUAAAUCCUUUCUUUCUGGCCCUAAGUGUUUCCAUCUUUAAAAGGAGAAGACUGGAUUAGAUGGGGUGGCUUCUCUCUCCUGCCUCCCAUGCAAGUCCAGGCCUCCUUUGGACCAACCAAGAGACCUACUAUAGGCCGUGCUAGAAGCUGGCCAGGAUACACCUGUUCCCCUCAUGACCUUGACCUGGAUGAGGAGGGCCUUAUAGGAGAGUUCAGGGCUGGGCUUGGUCCCCAGGCUAAUCCUUAGGCUUAGAGAGUGAGCCUGAUGAUGGAUUUCAACCUCCUGGGACACAGUCUUGCAAAGUUUACAUGUCUGAGCUUCAAGGAGGAAACCUAGGUGUGUCCUGAGCCAAUGAGACUGAAGGUCAGAGAACCAGGAAGAAACUUCCCCAAACCCAGGCUAAAUGUCAAGGGAAAAGGUCUCAGUGGCUCAUGCCAGAAGUCCAGUAGCAAAGCUCGGCCUCAUGCCAGAGCCUGGCACCCAUUGCUCACAAAGGCACACACAGGACUCUAAGAAAAGGGAGUCCUCUCCCCAGCCACCACAAACCAGGACAGCAAAGCCCAGCACCCUGUGGUCCUUGACCUCCCACCACACCCCAUCAGCAUGGAGGGUUCUUGGAAAGCCAUGUGUAAAAUGAAUUUCUGUAAAAUAAAUCAUAUUUGCUAACCAACAUAAUUUCAGAGAUGUUUCGUCACCCUUCCAGGCUCAUUGAAAAUUGGCAGGGCUUCUAACAUUUUACCUUUUAAGUGUGUCUUCCUUCCCCCAACCCCCAAUAUCCUCUCUGUCAAGUAGUUAAUGAUCUGUAAACAAACACUUUAAAUUCAGUGGGGGAGCUCACUAUUUAAAGAAACCCUGUGGUGAAACCUUUUGAAAAGUUAACAAUCUUUCUGUAAUGUGAAAAAUCACUCUCUAAUUUAUCAGUUUCCAUUAAUGAGAUUUUUGUGUGUAUUGGGCCUUCUGAAAGUGGGGCUCAACUGCAAUCCAUGCCUUUGUAGUUAGAAGGGAC